rnacentral:rRNA from 1 species
CUACGGGCGGCUGCAGUGGGGAAUAUUGGACAAUGGGGGCAACCCUGAUCCAGCCAUGCCGCGUGUGUGAAGAAGGCCUUAGGGUUGUAAAGCACUUUCAGUGGUGAGGAAGGGUGUGCAGUUAAUACCUGCAUAUCUUGACGUUAGCCACAGAAGAAGCACCGGCUAACUCUGUGCCAGCAGCCGCGGUAAUACAGAGGGUGCGAGCGUUAAUCGGAAUUACUGGGCGUAAAGCGCGCGUAGGUGGUUUGUUAAGUCGGAUGUGAAAUCCCCGGGCUCAACCUGGGAACUGCACCCGAUACUGGCAGGCUAGAGUACGAUAGAGGGGUGUGGAAUUUCCUGUGUAGCGGUGAAAUGCGUAGAUAUAGGAAGGAACAUCAGUGGCGAAGGCGACACCCUGGAUUGAUACUGACACUGAGGUGCGAAAGCGUGGGGAGCAAACAGGAUUAGAUACCCGCGUAGUC